GCGGGGGUGACCGAGUCCGGCCAAAAAAGGUUUUUUGGUUUAAGGUGCUGGGUUCAGGACCCAGUGGCGUAGGCCUGCGCGGGUUCGAAUCCCGUCCCCCGCA
rnacentral:tRNA from 1 species